GAUGAACGCUGGCGGCGUGCUUAACACAUGCGAGUCGAACGAUGAAGCCCAGCUUGCUGGUUGGUUUAGUGGCGAACGGGUGAGUAACACGUGAGUAACCUGCCCUUGACUCUGGGUUACGCGCUGGAAACGGCGCCUAUUACCGGAUACGAGCUUCCACCGCAUGGUGAGUUCCUGGAAAGAAUUGCUGUCAAGGAUGGCUUCGCGGCCUAUCCGGUAGUUGGUGGUGUAACGGUACAACAACUCCACGACGGGUAGCCCGCCCGAGAGGGGGAACGGGCACACUGGUACUGAGAGACGGACCAGACGCCAACGGGAGGCAGCAGGGGGGAGUAUUGCACAAUGGGGGCAAGUGUGAUGCAGCGGCGCCGCGUGAGGGACGAAGGCCUUCGGGUCGUAAACCUCUGUUAGCAGGGAAGAGGCGAAAGUGACGGUACCUGCAGAAAAAGCACCGGCUAACUACGUG
rnacentral:rRNA from 1 species